rnacentral:rRNA from 1 species
CAGGAGAAGCUUGCUUCUUGCUGACGAGCGGCGGACGGGUGAGUAAUACUUAGGAAUCUGCCCAGUAGUGGGGGAUAGCUCGGGGAAACUCGAAUUAAUACCGCAUACACCCUACGGGGAAAAGGGGGCGCUUGCGCUCUCGCUAUUGGAUGAGCCUAAGUCGGAUUAGCUAGUUGGUGGGGUAAAGGCCUACCAAGGCGACGAUCUGUAGCUGGUCUGAGAGGAUGAUCAGCCACACCGGGACUGAGACACGGCCCGGACUCCUACGGGAGGCAGCAGUGGGGAAUAUUGGACAAUGGGGGGAACCCUGAUCCAGCCAUGCCGCGUGUGUGAAGAAGGCCUUAUGGUUGUAAAGCACUUUAAGCGAGGAGGAGGCUCUCUUGGUUAAUACCCAAGAAGAGUGGACGUUACUCGCAGAAUAAGCACCGGCUAACUCUGUGCCAGCAGCCGCGGUAAUACAGAGGGUGCGAGCGUUAAUCGGAUUUACUGGGCGUAAAGCGUGCGUAGGCGGCUUUUUAAGUCGGAUGUGAAAUCCCCGAGCUUAACUUGGGAAUUGCAUUCGAUACUGGGAAGCUAGAGUAUGGGAGAGGAUGGUAGAAUUCCAGGUGUAGCGGUGAAAUGCGUAGAGAUCUGGAGGAAUACCGAUGGCGAAGGCAGCCAUCUGGCCU